UACGGGGGGGGCAAGCGUUGUUCGGAAUUACUGGGCGUAAAGGGCUCGUAGGCGGCCAACUAAGUCAGACGUGAAAUCCCUCGGCUUAACCGGGGAACUGCGUCUGAUACUGGAUGGCUUGAGAUUGGGAGAGGGAUGCGGAAUUCCAGGUGUAGCGGUGAAAUGCGUAGAUAUCUGGAGGAACACCGGUGGCGAAGGCGGCAUUCUGGACCAUUACUGACGCUGAGGAGCGAAAGCCAGGGGAGCAAACGGG
rnacentral:rRNA from 1 species